rnacentral:lncRNA from 1 species
UUUUAGAAUCCGAGACAUUGUUCUCUGUCUCCCUGUUCUGUGUCUGAGGACUGCUCCCUGACCUCCAUCCAGCUGGGAUCCUACACUCCAGCCCGAGUAGCGUUCCACAGAACACACUUUAGAGUGAUGACAUAGACAUGAGAAAACUGAAGAAUCUGCUGAGUAACAAGUUGGAUCAAGAUCUAUUUGAAUCUAAAACGAACAGGGGUUAAGUUCUUCAAGGGAAUGCUCAAAGAAUCCUGUACACUGAGAGUCAGGAGCUGAAUGUGGAAUUGGCAUCAUCUCUCAUAUCUCACACGGGGGACGUGCUCUGAAGAGCGACGGCAGAAGGCUGAGAAUUACAGCACACAGGGAAGAGGCCAUCUGAG